CCUACGGGAGGCAGCAGUGGGGAAUAUUGCACAAUGGGGGAAACCCUGAUGCAGCGACGCCGCGUGAGCGAUGAAGUAUUUCGGUAUGUAAAGCUCUAUCAGCAGGGAAGAAAAUGACGGUACUUGACUAAGAAGCCACGGCUAACUACGGGCCAGCAGCCGCGGUAAUACGGGGGAUGCAAGCGUUAUCCGGAUUUAUUGGCUUUAAAGGGUGCGUAGGCUGUGAGGUAAGUCAGCGGGGAAAUGCCCCCGCUCAACGGGGGGAAGUGCCAUUGAUAAUGCCUUCAUGGAAUGCGGAUGGCGUUGGAUGAAUGUGUGGUGUAGCGGUGAAAUGCAUAGAUAUCACACAGAACACCGAUUGCGAAGGCAUCUCACGAAGCCGCGAUUGACGCUGAUGCACGAAAGCGUGGGUAUCAAACAGGAUUAGAUACCCGAGUAGUC
rnacentral:rRNA from 1 species